rnacentral:lncRNA from 1 species
UCCCCCAUACUACGAUCAUCAGCAACACCAAAAACACUUUCUUGAAGUAGCGUCUAUUAAAUUUCUCUUCUGCUAUCACUUUUUACUCUAUUAAUUAAUAAUGUCUGAGGAAAAGCACCACCAACACGGCCUCUUCCACCACCACAAGGAGCAUGAGAAGCCUGAGGGUACCACCGGCUACUCCGACACCGUCACCGGCUACUCUGAUACCGCCACCGGCUACUCUGAUACCCCCACCGGUUACUCCGACUUGACCACCGGAUACUCUGAUCAGUCAGCCACCGAUUACUCUGAGACUACAGGUUAUCCGGGAGACCGGCGCCGGCCAUCAGAGAUGGAGAGCGGUGAGUAUGGCAGGAAAGAGGAAGAGUUUGAUUACAAGAAGGAGGAGAAGCACCACAAGCAUCUCGAGCACGUUGGAGAGCUUGGAACUGGUGCAGCUGGUGCUUUUGCUCUGGUAAAGUGCUUCUUCAUCAAAGUGCCUUUUCAAUUGUUUGAUGGUAUAGAGUUUCAUUUCUCAUGCAUGCUUGGAAAAAGUGUUUUUUUGACAACAUACUUAUAUAUAAUACCGCGCAUGUAACUAGGUUUUUUGCAGACACUGGCAAAAAAAAACAAAAAAUCCCAUUAUUUUCUUUUCAUUCUAUCUUUAUGUUGACCCUCAAAUUUUUUUUUUUUUUUGUUGGGGGGGUGGGGGGGUGUUGAUACGAUAUUGUAAAUGGAUCAGCUUGAGAAGCACAAGGCAGAAAAGGACCCAGAGCAUGCACACAGGCACAAGAUAGAGGAGGAGAUAGCCGCGGCAGCAGCCGUUGGAUCGGGAGGAUUUGCGUUCCACGAGCACCAUGAGAAGAAAGAAGCCAAGGAAGAAGACGAGGAAGCUCAUGGAAAGAAGCACCACCAUCUCUUUUAAUUAAUUAUGUGAUGCGUGCGCUACCUUUUUUAGUUUAUUAUAAUUAUGUGUUAAUAUUUUCUGUAUUUUAUUUGUUUUUGUUCGUUAAUUAUCAUUGAGCACAGAGGUAGCUAUCUGCAGCCCUAAAUAAUACCCUUGUGUGUUUGUGUGUAUGGGUGAGUCUGGUGACUUUUGUAAACAGACCGGAGUUAUCUGGUUAUGUUGUCAUCUUCCAUUUAUAUAUAUGUUGAUAAUAAAAAUUAGUUUUAAUUGUGUGUUUAUUAUUUAUAAGAUUUGACCUCAUGAUCUGAUGUUUUCUCCAAUCUCAGCUGUUGCUUUAGAAGUUGGGAUCAUCUGUUAAUUAUUAUUGUUUUUUAAAUGAAGUGAGCUGACAACCAUUGGGCUAAAGACUAAUAAUUCAACAUCAUAAAUAAACAACUCUCUUUGCCGUGAUGUAAUUUUAUUUGCCAAUGGGAUAAAGUAAAUUUAUGUGAAAUAACAUUUAUUCUAUGGACCCCCAGGCCAACUUUAGGGGAACAUUUUCCUAGAAUUGGCCUGGGGAGCAGCUGCGUGGUGGCAGCGCAGCUGCCCCAAACGGAUUUAUAUAUUUAUUAAAUUUGUUAAAGGAAUAUAUAAAGUUUAAAUUAACCUACAACUUUUCUUAAGAUUCAAAUCCUUGGGGCUUUAUCAAAUAAGAUUUGAUAUUAUAUCUGAAAAUGUAAUUGUGAAACCAAUGAUUAUAAGUUGAACUUAAUGUACAACUAAUCUUGAUAUUACCAAGUUGAUUUAUGGACUUUUGCUCGAGAAUGUUGUAUGACUCGUGACAAGUUGGACUGAAAAGCCCAUCGAGUAAUGGAAUGUUAGGUGUAUUUUCUCAAGAAGCAGCACUAAAUAAUCACCCGCUGACAGUCAAAUAAAGCUCACCAAUUAAUUGGACAACAACAAUUAUCUACAUCCAUUAAAGUGAAGCAAAGUAAAGAAAGGUCUAUGCAGGCUUCACAAGCACAAAUUAAUCAAGUAGUUGCACAAGCACAACCUGAACAAGCACCAGGUAAUAUUUAACCUCUAUGUUAAUUCCUUAUUUUUAUGUCCAUGAAUAAUAACUAAAUUAAUACUUUUUAGGAAUAUAUGGACCUCAAAGUACAAUUGGACAACAACAACAACCUGCAUAUAUUAUAGCGAGGCAAAGGAGGGCUAGACCAUUGCAUGAUCAAGGAACUAGUAACAACAACAAUAAUGGAGUUAUUAAUACCGAGCCUGUUCUAAAAAAAGUCAGAAAAGAGAGCAAAGAUAGGUUGAAUGCAACUCAACCAUCAGCUUCUAUGCCUGAUGGCUUUGGUGGUUGCAUGUAGUAUCUUGUAAAAUAUGAUAUCUAAUUAGUUUUGUUAACUAUUGUAGCAGGGGGUAAAGGUGGCUUCAUUCAUUGGGUAUGUGGCAAUAAAAUUCAUACCCAUUUGAAUAUUGUGUUUACUUUUGGUUAACUAUGAUGGAAUCUUCUUAUAUUAUGAUUACAUUUAGCUUAUAUGGCAUUGAUGCGUCAAACGAUUACUCCCUGAUUUUGAUUAUAACGAAGAUAUAUAAUUUUUUUUUUUUGGCAAUGCCGUAAGAUUUUGUUGGAUUGUUUUUGUAAGAAAUGAUUGGGUAUUUAUUUUUUUUGCAAGAUUAUAAUUGCGGAGACAUAAAUGGUUGAAAGGAUAGAAUAUUCGGGAAUGUUUGUGCAAGGAAUGUGGUUUGACAGAAGUGACGCAAAUUAGGCUUAUUGCAUUUGUGUUUUACGGGUAUGUAUAGCUUGAUUCAUGAAAUUAGAAAAUAAACGUUAGUCUUCCUAUUAAUAUUCAUUUUUUCAAUCCAUAUAUUAAUGGCAAUUAAGUCUUUUUGACUCUAAAAGUAAGGGCACUUUUAAAAUUUCACUUUGUUAUAUAUCAAUUAAAACAUGUGGGUAAUUGUGUGAUUUUAUCCACUAGAGCUAAGAAAAUUGGCGCCAAUCUCCUGUCAUUUGGAUACUAGGGGCAAAUAGGUAAAAGUAUUUAAAAAUUGAGCAACUUCUGUUAUUGUUAUAACAGCAGGGAGGAAAUUGGUCAUUAUGAAAAUAGUAAAGGAAGAAUUGGUAUAUAAUGAUUUUAAUAAGGGGGAAAUUAGCAAUCUCCCUUAUAACCACCGAAACAUCAACUGCCAUUGGAUUGGGACCCAUUUAACCACCGGCCAUAAAACAGUUUGGACGAAACUUAAUCCUGAAAAACUUAUGGACCUCCCUUUUCACUUGUUUUUAAAAAAAAAUUAAAGAAAAAUUACGUGUCAAAAAGGAAAAAAAAUUACACUGACGAAUCCCUUAUUGUCAUGCCAAAUUAUCACACUUAAAGUAAAGAAUUUAAGCAAAAGUCUUAAACCAUUAUAAAUGUGAACGUAUGGCUGAUUUAUGAUAUGAUGGGUCCAUCUAUUAAAUAUCUUGUUUUCUUUAGUGUGGAUGUUUUUAUUUUAUUUUAUAAAAGUAUGAAUUUAAUAUUUUAUAAUAUUAUAAAAACUAUAUAAUAUUAUAAAAUAUUUUAUAAAGUGCAAAGUUCAACACUUGAGAAAGAUUUCUUAAGGUUAAAGUUUAUCAUUACAAAGAGUGAAAAAAAAGAAGAAGAGGAAAAUAUCCAAUUGUAACUACAACCGUCAUGUUUUUACAUUGCAUUUCUUACAAUUUUCCAUUAAAUAUUUCUCAAAUUCUUUAGAGAAUUAAAAUAGAAUUGUUAUAAAAUUAAAUUCUCUCAUGAUCUAAAUUUGUCUCGUGUAAAAUUUAGUUGGAAAUUAGUGGUUAAUUAAAAAAAGUUAAAUCAAAAUCAUACAUAGCAUUAAAAAAAAAACAUAAAACACAAGACAUUUAAAAAUUCGAGAGAGUUCAUGUUAAGAAAGGGUCUUAAUUCAAUAAUGCAUAUGAUAUGAAAUGCAAAGUUUGGUGGGUCUAUUAAAACUAUAAUUAUUUUUAUCCAUUAAACUGCUAUUUCCUAUUUUAUGGAUAAUUCUUUUGAGCCACUGUUGAAGUAUUUGCAAUUUGUGACUAAAUUGUCUGAGCAUGAAGUCUCGUUGGUGAAACCAACCAUGUCGACAUAUAACGAAAAUAAAUCAAAAUCCGGAAACAAUAUUAAUGUAACAAUGAACCAACAGUAGACCAAUCGCAUUAUUAUUAUUAUUUGAGUACGUAAAUUGAUUUUUUUAGAGUAAAAAGAAAAAAAAGAUUUUUUUCUCCGUGAAUUUGACUUUUUCUUGUGGUACCGAACCAACCAUAGAGUUAUUACCUCUAAAAUUUUCUGAAGGUUAAGAAUUUUUUUUUUAAAACAAUUAAAAACAUCCCCAGAAAGAGACUCGAGUACACGUGUCAAAAAAUUGAAGUUUCUAACGGAGUUAAGAAAUAAGAAUAUGUUAAAAUAAGCAAAUUAAUGCAUACAUGUCAAAAAAUCUUCCAAAUAUUAAUUAAGUAAAUUCAGAUUAGUACAAUUUUAUUGAUUAGUUGGAUGUCACCCAGAAAAUCUAAAAAGAAAUUGUUAGCGACCCUUACCAUUUGAGUCACGAAAAGCUUAUAAAUAGACCCACAUCUCCCAUGCUAUGAUCAUCAGCAACACCAAAAACACUUUCUUGAAGUAGUGUCUAUAAAUUUCUCUUCUGCUAUCACUUUUUACUCUAUUAAUUAAUCAUGUCUGAGGAAAAGCACCACCACCACGGCCUCUUCCACCACCACAAGGAGCAUGAGAAGCCUGAGGGUGCCACCGGUUACUCCGACUCGACCACCGGAUACUCUGAUCAGUCAGCCACUGCUUACUCUGAGACUACAGGUUAUCCGGGAGACCGGUGCCGGCCAUCGGAGACGGAGAGCGGUGACUAUGGCAGGAAAGAGGAGGAGGUUGAUUACAAGAAGGAGGAGAAGCACCACAAGCAUCUCGAGCACCUCGGAGAGCUCGGAACUGCUGGAGCUGGUGCUUUUGCCCUGGUAAAGUGAUUCUUCAUCAAGUGCUUUUUUUAUUUUGUGAUAGUGUAUAGUUUCAUUUCUCAUGCAUACAUAUACAAAGUACCACGCAUGUAACUAGGCUUUUUGCAUGGAUUGGAGGAAAAAAAAAGAAAGAAUCCCAUUAUUUUCUUUAAUUUUAUCUCUAUGUUGACACUCAAUUAUUUAUUUAUUUUUGGGGGGUGGGGGGGUGUUGAUACGAUAUUGUAAAUGGAUCAGCUUGAGAAGCACAAGGCAGAAAAGGACCCAGAGCAUGCACACAGGCACAAGAUAGAGGAGGAGAUAGCCGCGGCAGCAGCCGUUGGAUCGGGAGGAUUUGCGUUCCACGAGCACCAUGAGAAGAAAGAAGCCAAGGAAGAAGACGAGGAAGCUCAUGGAAAGAAGCACCACCAUCUCUUUUAAUUAAUUAUGUGAUGCGUGCGCUACCUUUUUUAGUUUAUUAUAAUUAUGUGUUAAUAUUUUCUGUAUUUUAUUUGUUUUUGUUCGUUAAUUAUCAUUGAGCACAGAGGUAGCUAUCUGCAGCCCUAAAUAAUACCCUUGUGUGUUUGUGUGUAUGGGUGAGUCUGGUGACUUUUGUAAACAGACCGGAGUUAUCUGGUUAUGUUGUCAUCUUCCAUUUAUAUAUAUGUUGAUAAUAAAAAUUAGUUUUAAUUGUGUGUUUAUUAUUUAUAAGAUUUGACCUCAUGAUCUGAUGUUUUCUCCAAUCUCAGCUGUUGCUUUAGAAGUUGGGAUCAUCUGUUAAUUAUUAUUGUUUUUUAAAUGAAGUGAGCUGACAACCAUUGGGCUAAAGACUAAUAAUUCAACAUCAUAAAUAAACAACUCUCUUUGCCGUGAUGUAAUUUUAUUUGCCAAUGGGAUAAAGUAAAUUUAUGUGAAAUAACAUUUAUUCUAUGGACCCCCAGGCCAACUUUAGGGGAACAUUUUCCUAGAAUUGGCCUGGGGAGCAGCUGCGUGGUGGCAGCGCAGCUGCCCCAAACGGAUUUAUAUAUUUAUUAAAUUUGUUAAAGGAAUAUAUAAAGUUUAAAUUAACCUACAACUUUUCUUAAGAUUCAAAUCCUUGGGGCUUUAUCAAAUAAGAUUUGAUAUUAUAUCUGAAAAUAUAAUUGUGAAACCAAUGAUUAUAAGUUGAACUUAAUGUACAACUAAUCUUGAUAUUACCAAGUUGAUUUAUGGACUUUUGCUCGAGAAUGUUGUAUGACUCGUGACAAGUUGGACUGAAAAGCCCAUCGAGUAAUGGAAUGUUAGGUGUAUUUUCUCAAGAAGCAGCACUAAAUAAUCACCCGCUGACAGUCAAAUAAAGCUCACCAAUUAAUUGGACAACAACAAUUAUCUACAUCCAUUAAAGUGAAGCAAAGUAAAGAAAGGUCUAUGCAGGCUUCACAAGCACAAAUUAAUCAAGUAGUUGCACAAGCACAACCUGAACAAGCACCAGGUAAUAUUUAACCUCUAUGUUAAUUCCUUAUUUUUAUGUCCAUGAAUAAUAACUAAAUUAAUACUUUUUAGGAAUAUAUGGACCUCAAAGUACAAUUGGACAACAACAACAACCUGCAUAUAUUAUAGCGAGGCAAAGGAGGGCUAGACCAUUGCAUGAUCAAGGAACUAGUAACAACAACAAUAAUGGAGUUAUUAAUACCGAGCCUGUUCUAAAAAAAGUCAGAAAAGAGAGCAAAGAUAGGUUGAAUGCAACUCAACCAUCAGCUUCUAUGCCUGAUGGCUUUGGUGGUUGCAUGUAGUAUCUUGUAAAAUAUGAUAUCUAAUUAGUUUUGUUAACUAUUGUAGCAGGGGGUAAAGGUGGCUUCAUUCAUUGGGUAUGUGGCAAUAAAAUUCAUACCCAUUUGAAUAUUGUGUUUACUUUUGGUUAACUAUGAUGGAAUCUUCUUAUAUUAUGAUUACAUUUAGCUUAUAUGGCAUUGAUGCGUCAAACGAUUACUCCCUGAUUUUGAUUAUAACGAAGAUAUAUAAUUUUUUUUUUUUGGCAAUGCCGUAAGAUUUUGUUGGAUUGUUUUUGUAAGAAAUGAUUGGGUAUUUAUUUUUUUUGCAAGAUUAUAAUUGCGGAGACAUAAAUGGUUGAAAGGAUAGAAUAUUCGGGAAUGUUUGUGCAAGGAAUGUGGUUUGACAGAAGUGACGCAAAUUAGGCUUAUUGCAUUUGUGUUUUACGGGUAUGUAUAGCUUGAUUCAUGAAAUUAGAAAAUAAACGUUAGUCUUCCUAUUAAUAUUCAUUUUUUCAAUCCAUAUAUUAAUGGCAAUUAAGUCUUUUUGACUCUAAAAGUAAGGGCACUUUUAAAAUUUCACUUUGUUAUAUAUCAAUUAAAACAUGUGGGUAAUUGUGUGAUUUUAUCCACUAGAGCUAAGAAAAUUGGCGCCAAUCUCCUGUCAUUUGGAUACUAGGGGCAAAUAGGUAAAAGUAUUUAAAAAUUGAGCAACUUCUGUUAUUGUUAUAACAGCAGGGAGGAAAUUGGUCAUUAUGAAAAUAGUAAAGGAAGAAUUGGUAUAUAAUGAUUUUAAUAAGGGGGAAAUUAGCAAUCUCCCUUAUAACCACCGAAACAUCAACUGCCAUUGGAUUGGGACCCAUUUAACCACCGGCCAUAAAACAGUUUGGACGAAACUUAAUCCUGAAAAACUUAUGGACCUCCCUUUUCACUUGUUUUUAAAAAAAAAUUAAAGAAAAAUUACGUGUCAAAAAGGAAAAAAAAUUACACUGACGAAUCCCUUAUUGUCAUGCCAAAUUAUCACACUUAAAGUAAAGAAUUUAAGCAAAAGUCUUAAACCAUUAUAAAUGUGAACGUAUGGCUGAUUUAUGAUAUGAUGGGUCCAUCUAUUAAAUAUCUUGUUUUCUUUAGUGUGGAUGUUUUUAUUUUAUUUUAUAAAAGUAUGAAUUUAAUAUUUUAUAAUAUUAUAAAAACUAUAUAAUAUUAUAAAAUAUUUUAUAAAGUGCAAAGUUCAACACUUGAGAAAGAUUUCUUAAGGUUAAAGUUUAUCAUUACAAAGAGUGAAAAAAAAGAAGAAGAGGAAAAUAUCCAAUUGUAACUACAACCGUCAUGUUUUUACAUUGCAUUUCUUACAAUUUUCCAUUAAAUAUUUCUCAAAUUCUUUAGAGAAUUAAAAUAGAAUUGUUAUAAAAUUAAAUUCUCUCAUGAUCUAAAUUUGUCUCGUGUAAAAUUUAGUUGGAAAUUAGUGGUUAAUUAAAAAAAGUUAAAUCAAAAUCAUACAUAGCAUUAAAAAAAAAACAUAAAACACAAGACAUUUAAAAAUUCGAGAGAGUUCAUGUUAAGAAAGGGUCUUAAUUCAAUAAUGCAUAUGAUAUGAAAUGCAAAGUUUGGUGGGUCUAUUAAAACUAUAAUUAUUUUUAUCCAUUAAACUGCUAUUUCCUAUUUUAUGGAUAAUUCUUUUGAGCCACUGUUGAAGUAUUUGCAAUUUGUGACUAAAUUGUCUGAGCAUGAAGUCUCGUUGGUGAAACCAACCAUGUCGACAUAUAACGAAAAUAAAUCAAAAUCCGGAAACAAUAUUAAUGUAACAAUGAACCAACAGUAGACCAAUCGCAUUAUUAUUAUUAUUUGAGUACGUAAAUUGAUUUUUUUAGAGUAAAAAGAAAAAAAAGAUUUUUUUCUCCGUGAAUUUGACUUUUUCUUGUGGUACCGAACCAACCAUAGAGUUAUUACCUCUAAAAUUUUCUGAAGGUUAAGAAUUUUUUUUUUAAAACAAUUAAAAACAUCCCCAGAAAGAGACUCGAGUACACGUGUCAAAAAAUUGAAGUUUCUAACGGAGUUAAGAAAUAAGAAUAUGUUAAAAUAAGCAAAUUAAUGCAUACAUGUCAAAAAAUCUUCCAAAUAUUAAUUAAGUAAAUUCAGAUUAGUACAAUUUUAUUGAUUAGUUGGAUGUCACCCAGAAAAUCUAAAAAGAAAUUGUUAGCGACCCUUACCAUUUGAGUCACGAAAAGCUUAUAAAUAGACCCACAUCUCCCAUGCUAUGAUCAUCAGCAACACCAAAAACACUUUCUUGAAGUAGUGUCUAUAAAUUUCUCUUCUGCUAUCACUUUUUACUCUAUUAAUUAAUCAUGUCUGAGGAAAAGCACCACCACCACGGCCUCUUCCACCACCACAAGGAGCAUGAGAAGCCUGAGGGUGCCACCGGUUACUCCGACUCGACCACCGGAUACUCUGAUCAGUCAGCCACUGCUUACUCUGAGACUACAGGUUAUCCGGGAGACCGGUGCCGGCCAUCGGAGACGGAGAGCGGUGACUAUGGCAGGAAAGAGGAGGAGGUUGAUUACAAGAAGGAGGAGAAGCACCACAAGCAUCUUGAGCACCUCGGAGAGCUCGGAACUGCUGGAGCUGGUGCUUUUGCCCUGGUAAAGUGAUUCUUCAUCAAGUGCUUUUUUUAUUUUGUGAUAGUGUAUAGUUUCAUUUCUCAUGCAUACAUAUACAAAGUACCACGCAUGUAACUAGGCUUUUUGCAUGGAUUGGAGGAAAAAAAAAGAAAGAAUCCCAUUAUUUUCUUUAAUUUUAUCUCUAUGUUGACACUCAAUUAUUUAUUUAUUUUUGGGGGGUGGGGGGGUGUUGAUACGAUAUUGUAAAUGGAUCAGCUUGAGAAGCACAAGGCAGAAAAGGACCCAGAGCAUGCACACAGGCACAAGAUAGAGGAGGAGAUAGCCGCGGCAGCAGCCGUUGGAUUGGGAGGAUUUGCGUUCCACGAGCACCAUGAGAAGAAAGAAGCCAAGGAAGAAGACGAGGAAGCUCAUGGAAAGAAGCACCACCAUCUCUUUUAAUUAAUUAUGUAUUGCGUCCGCUACCUUUUUUAGUUUAUUAUAAUUAUGUGUUAAUAUUUUCUGUAUUUUAUUUGUUUUGCACGUUAGCCCUCAUUGAGCACAGAGGUAGCUGCAGCCCUAAAUAAUACUGUUGUGUGUUCGCGUGUAUGGGUGAGUCUGGUGACUUUUGUAAACACACCGGAGUUAUCUGGUUAUGUUGUCAUCUUACAUUUAUAUAUAUGUUGAUAAUAAAACUUAGUUUUAAUUGUGUGUUUAUUAUUUAUAAGAUUUGACCUCAUGAUCUGAUGUUUUCUCCAAUCUCAGCUGUUGCUUUAGAAGUUGGGAUCAUCUGUUAAUUAUUAUUGUUUUU